UUCUUCUUCAUACGAUUUCAGAUAUAUCACCUCGUCUUCUUCUUCUACAUAUCCAAGAUCCACAUAUCUCCUUUCAUCUUCUUCUUUUCCGUCCAUCAUUAAUUCUUACUUCUUCUUCAACAUCCACGUUUCAUUAAGGUAAGUAUUCUUGUUUCUUAGUGGAGUAAUGUUUGACGUUCGUGUCUAUGGAUGAGAAAGGUUAAAUCGUAGUUUGAAUGCGUUUAAUUGUAGAAAAACUGAAACCAAGGUGUACAAAU
rnacentral:sRNA from 1 species